AUUUAUAUAGUUUAAAAAAAACAUUACAUUUUCACUGUAAAAAUAAUAACUCAAUUUUAUUUAUAGAUA
rnacentral:tRNA from 1 species